rnacentral:rRNA from 1 species
UACGGAGGGUGCGAGCGUUGUCCGGAAUCACUGGGCGUAAAGGGCGCGUAGGUGGCGCGGGCAGUCAACGGUGAAAGUUCGGGGCUCAACCCUGAAUCGGCCGUCGAUACUCCCGGGCUUGAGCACUGUAGAGGCAGAUGGAAUUCCGGGUGUAGCGGUGGAAUGCGUAGAGAUCCGGAAGAACACCGGUGGCGAAGGCGGUCUGCUGGCAGUAGCUGACACUGAGGCGCGACACGUGGGAGCAACAGG